rnacentral:lncRNA from 1 species
UUUUUUAUUUUACAAUAUUAUGUAAAUAAAUUUUAUCAUACAUAUUUGAUUUUACUAUUUAUUAUUUACAACAUUAUCAUACGAUACAUCACUUUGAGUUUUAUCUUCGAUACCACCUUUAGGACCACUUUGAGUUCUACCUUCAGCACCACCUUUAGUACCACUAUGAGUGCUGCCUUUAGUACAACCUUCAGCACUACUUUCAGCAUUCUUUUCAGUACCAUCUUAAAUAAGAACCGCCUUAAUAAUAUUCUAAUUAAUUAUUUUAAUUCAUAAAUCUAUAUAACCAAAUAUCUUUUCAUAUAUGCCUUCUAUAUCUAUGUUUGAUAUAAAACUCUUAUGUUGUAGCUUCGCAUUUAA